UCUACCGAAGUGCUACGCCGACAAAGCCAUUCCUUAUGCAUCGGCGAAGCACUAAAUUAGAAUGCUGACGCUGAAGUUCACCGAAUUUUUGACUGCCGAAGUGUGCUUGCCUUAUAUCACUUGUUGAUUACAUCGGGGCAUCACUGUACUCAACCAUGCAUUCACAAUGAAAUGAGAAGCGAGAAGUGAGAAACCGAGUAGGCAAUAUGCGCGCCAGUUCAUCUCUGUAGAGGAGUAUGAAUGCAUCAAUUUGAAUCAAUGUAAAUAAAAACAAAAACAAACCAAUGUGCAUUCUGCAAAUAGUAGGUGAUAAAUUAUCCAGAAACAAAUCGAUUUAAAUUGUGAUCCCGUAGCAGAAAAUCACUUAAUUAGGUGUCAACAAGUGGUGGAGAGCCUGAACUAGUGACCUAGCUACAUAUACACGAUUGUUGGAAGGAGAAAAACAAAGCGAUAAUCUGGAAGUAAAAUUCGAGUCAACCGAUUAGCGUUUUUGUUAUCGCCACGAAUAGUUAAAAUAUAUCGCAAGAGGAGCAGGAAACUAUUUCUUGUAAGUGUAAGGAAAAUUUGUUAAAACCUUUAAUCAAUGGAAUAUAUCUUUUUAGUUUGAGCUGACCAUU